rnacentral:sRNA from 1 species
UGACCGAGCAACGCCGCGUGAACGAUGAAGUAUUUAGGUAUGUAAAGUUCUUUUAUUAAAGAAGAAAAAAUGAUGGAAAAAUCAUUCUGACGGUAUUUAAUGAAUAAGCCCCGGCUAACUAUGUGCCAGCAGCUGCGGUAAUACAUGGGGGGCAAGCGUUAUCCGGAUUUAUUGGGCGUAAAGGGUGCGUAGGCGGUUUAAUAAGUCUAUGGUCAAUGUUCAACGCUUAACGUUGUGAUGCUAUAGAAACUGUUUGACUAGAGUUGGAUAGAGGCAAGUGGAAUUCCAUGUGUAGCGGUAAAAUGCGUAAAGAUAUGGAGGAACACCAGUAGCGAAGGCGGCUUGCUGGGUCUUAACUGACGCUGAGGCACGAAAGCGUGGGGAGCAAACAGGAUUAGAUACCCUGGUAGUCCACGCCGUAAACGAUGAGUACUAAGUGUUGGGUUAAACCAGUGCUGAAGUUAACGCAUUAAGUACUCCGCCUGAGUAGUACGUACGCAAGUAUGAAACUUAAAGGAAUUGACGGGACUCCGCACAAGCGGUGGAUCAUGUUGUUUAAUUCGAAGAUACACGAAAAACCUUACCAGGUCUUGACAUACUCUGCAAAGCUAUAGAAAUAUAGUGGAGGUUAUCAGGGAUACAGGUGGUGCAUGGUUGUCGUCAGCUCGUGUCGUGAGAUGUUGGGUUAAGUCCCGCAACGAGCGCAACCCUUAUCGCUAGUUACCAUCAUUUAGUUGGGCACUUUAGUGAGACUGCCAAUGAUAAAUUGGAGGAAGGUGGGGAUUACGUCAAAUCAUCAUGCCCCUUAUGACCUGGGCUACAAACGUGAUACAAUGGCUGUUACAAAGAGUAGCUGAAGCGUGAGUUUUUAGCAAAUCUCAAAAAAACAGUCUCAGUUCGGAUUGAAGUCUGCAACUCGACUUCAUGAAGUCGGAAUCGCUAGUAAUCGCGAAUCAGCAUGUCGUGGUGAAUACGUUCUCGGGGUUUGUACACACCGCCCGUCAAACCAUGAAAGUUGACAAUACCCGAAACCAGUAGCCUAACUUGCAAAAGAGGGAACUGUCUAAGGUAGGGUUGAUGAUUGGGGUUAAGUCGUAACAAGGUAUCCCUACCGGAAGGUGGGGAUGGAUCACCUCCUUUUCUAAGGAAAAUAUCAUCUUCAGUUGUGAAAGACUUAAAAAAAAGUUUUUUAUUUUUUAAGAUAAAAAUUAAUAAUGGCCGGGGCCUAUUA